UACAGAGGGUGCGAGCGUUAAUCGGAUUUACUGGGCGUAAAGCGUGCGUAGGCGGCUAUUUAAGUCGGAUGUGAAAGCCCUGGGCUUAACCUGGGAACUGCAUUCGAUACUGGGUAGCUGGAGAUCGGUAGAGGGCGGCGGAAUUCCGGGUGUAGCGGUGAAAUGCGUAGAUAUCUGGAGGAACACCAGUGGCGAAAGCGGCUCGCUGGCACGAUACUGACGCUCAUGCUCGAAAGCGUGGGGAGCGAACGGGAUUAGAAACCCGUGUAGU
rnacentral:rRNA from 1 species